rnacentral:lncRNA from 1 species
UCUAGGUCUUAAUAUAUUAGAGAGUAACUCCCCUCACCUGGUUGUAUAGGUCUUAAUAUAUUAGUGAGUAACUCCCCUCACCUGGUUGUCUAGGUCUUAAUAGAUUAGUGAGUAACUCCCCUCACCUGGUUGUCUAGGGCUUAAUAGAUUAGUUAGUAACUCCCCUCACCUGGUUGUCUAGGUCUUAAUAGAUUAGUGAGUAACUCCCCUCACCUGGUUGUCUAGGUCUUAAUAGAUUAGUUAGUAAUCUCUCACCUGGUUGUCUAGGUCUUAAUAUAUAGUAGAGUAACUCCCCUCACCUGGUUGUCUAGGUCUUAAUAUAUUAGUUAGUAACUCCCCUCACCUGGUUGUCUAGGUCUUAAUAUAUUAGUUAGUAACUCCCCUCACCUGGUUGGUUCUAGGUCUUAUAUGAUUAGGGUAACUCCCCUCACCUGGUUGUCUAGGUCUUAAUAUAUUAUGAGUAACUCCCCUCACCUGGUUGUCUAGGUUCUUAAUAAUGUGAGUAACUCCCCUCACCUGGUUGUCUAGGUCUUAAUAGUUGUAGUAACUCCCCUCACCUGGUUGUCUAGGUCUUAAUAGAUUAGUUAGUAACUCCCCUCCCCUGGUUGUCUAGGUCUUAAUAGAUUGUUAGUAACUCCCCUCACCUGGUUGUCUAGGUCUUAAUAGUUAGUUAGUAACUCCCCUCACCUGGUUGUCUAGGUCUUAAUAUAUUGUGAGUAACUCCCCUCACCUGGUUGUCUAGGUCUUAAUAUAUUAGUUAGUAACUCCCCUCACCUGGUUGUCUAGGUCUUAAUUAUUAGAGAGAACUCCCCUCACCUGGUUGUCUAGGUUCUUAAUAUAUUAGUGAGUAACUCCCCUCACCUGGUUGUCUAGGUCUUAAUAGAUUAGUGAGUAACUCCCCUCACCUGGUUGUCUAGGUCUUAUAGAUUAGUGAGUAACUCCCCUCCCCUGGUUGUCUAGGUCUUAAUAUUUGGUGAGUAACUCCCCUCACCUGGUUGUCUAGGUCUUAAUAUAUUGUGAGUAACUCCCCUCACCUGGUUGUUCUAGGUCUUAAAAGCUAAGGUAACUGAGCUAAACGACUACCACCCCCCGUAGCACUCACAUCCGUCAUCAUGAAGUGCUUUGAGAGACUAGUCAAGGACAUAU